CCUACGGGAGGCAGCAGUGGGGAAUAUUGGGCAAUGGGCGCAAGCCUGACCCAGCAACGCCGCGUGAAGGAAGAAGGCUUUCGGGUUGUAAACUUCUUUUGUCAGGGACGAAGCAAGUGACGGUACCUGACGAAUAAGCCACGGCUAACUACGUGCCAGCAGCCGCGGUAAUACGUAGGUGGCAAUCGUUAUCCGGAUUUAUUGGGUGUAAAGGUGGUGUAGGUGGGAAUGCAAGUCAGAUGUGAAAACUAUGGGCUCAACCCAUAGCCUGCAUUUGAAACUGUAUUUCUUGAGUGCUGGAGAGGCAAUCGGAAUUCCGUGUGUAGCGGUGAAAUGCGUAGAUAUACGGAGGAACACCAGUGGCGAAGGCGGAUUGCUGGACAGUAACUGACGCUGAGGCGCGAAAGCGUGGGGAGCAAACAGGAUUAGAUACCCGUGUAGUC
rnacentral:rRNA from 1 species